rnacentral:lncRNA from 1 species
AUGAACACAUUUGAAUGUGCUUGCCCUUUGUCUUUGAUGGCAAAGAGGACAUGUGUAACCAAGGCCACUGACUUUGAUCCAAAACAUGAAGAACAGAAAAGAAGUUGGUUAUUCCCUCUGGAACCACCUUUUCAUAUAGCUAGCAGAGUGGCAACGAUUCUUUCUGGUUCAGAAAAUGCCUCCUAAAGUGAGUCCUGUGGCUACAAAGUGUAGCCAAGAGGUAUGGAAGAAAACCUAAGGUCUGGAUGAUGAUAAGGACAUGGGAGCAGAGACUUUGGGCUCAGUGGGUUUCAACUGUGACUCAAAAUCCUUA